rnacentral:rRNA from 1 species
AUGGGAGAUCUUAAUGAUAUACUUUAUGAUGUUGAAAAAAGUUCUCCCUUAGUGAAUUACUCACGCUUGCAUGCUUUUCGUUGUAUUGUGAAACAAUGUGGUCUAAUUGAUCUAGGAUAUAGUGGCCCUGCUUAUACUUGGACAAACAAGAGGUAUGCUUCUAACCCAAUCAUGGAAAGACUUGAUAGAUGUCUGGUUAAUGCUGAAUGGUGUGCGAUGUUUCCCAAUUCCAAUGUUUACAAUCUACCUAUUAUUCUCAGUGAUCACGCUCCUAUUCUACUUUCUACUGAUGCUCAUAUACGCAAGCCCAGAAGAAACUUUAAAUUUGAAAAUUGGUGGCUUAUGGAAAAUGAUUUUCAUGAAUAUGCUAAAAAUGUUUGGAUUGCUUCUAGGAAUAAAGUUUUCCACAAUAGGACAACUAACCUUGUAGGAUCUUUGAGAGCUUGGUGCAGAAAGAAAAAGUCAAUUCAAUAG